rnacentral:rRNA from 1 species
AGUGAACGCUGGCGGUAGGCCUAACACAUGCAAGUCGAACGGCAGCACAGUAAGAGCUUGCUCUUACGGGUGGCGAGUGGCGGACGGGUGAGGAAUACAUCGGAAUCUACUUUUUCGUGGGGGAUAACGUAGGGAAACAUACGCUAAUACCGCAUACGACCUACGGGUGAAAGCAGGGGAUCUACGGACCUUGCGCGAUUGAAUGAGCCGAUGCCGGAUUAGCUAGUUGGCGGGGUAAAGGCCCACCAAGGCGACGAUCCGUAGCUGGUCUGAGAGGAUGAUCAGCCACACUGGAACUGAGACACGGUCCAGACUCCUACGGGAGGCAGCAGUGGGGAAUAUUGCACAAUGGGCGCAAGCCUGAUCCAGCCAUACCGCGUGGGUGAAGAAGGCCUUCGGGUUGUAAAGCCCUUUUGUUGGGAAAGAAAAGCAGCAGGUUAAUCCCCCGCUGUUCUGACGGUACCCAAAGAGUAAGCACCGGCUAACUUCGUG